ensembl:lncRNA
GAACCAAGGACCUCACAGUCAUUGUCCUCCUCCUCCACUACAAGCCUCCCUCCCACCACUGGGGCCUCCACCACUGUCUACUCAAUGGAAGCCAACGGUGAUCCCUGUGCCGAUUUUGAUCCAGAAAAGGAGGAAGGGGAAGUGCAGUACUUGGUUAAAUGGAAAGGUUGGUCAUACAUCCACAGCACAUGGGAAAGUGAGGACUCCUUGCAGCAGCAGAAAGUGAAAGGCAUUAAGAAGCUGGAGAACUUCAAGAAGAAAGAAGAAGACAUCAACAGUUGGUUGGAAAAGGUCACCCCAGAAGACGUAGAGUAUUUCAACUGCCAACAGGAACUGGCAGCUGAGUUGAACAAACAGUACCAGAUUGUGGAAAGAGUGAUUGUUCACAACCGCAAGUCCUCCUCUAAUGAGCCAGAGUACCUUUGCAAGUGGAUGGGACUUCCCUACGCAGAAUGUAGCUGGGAAGAUGAAGCUCUGAUCAGCAAAAAAUUCCAGUACUGUAUUGAUAGCUUCAACAAUAGGAACAACUCCAAAGCCAUGCCUACUCGGGACUGCAAGGUGCUGAAGCAAAGGCCUCGUUUUGUGGCCUUGAAGAACCAACCUUCCUACAUUGGUGGGGAGAAUCUGGAACUCCGCGACUAUCAGCUGGAGGGCUUGAAUUGGUUGGCUCAUUCUUGGUGCAAGAACAACAGUGUCAUCCUGGCGGACGAGAUGGGCUUGGGGAAGACCAUCCAGACCAUUUCUUUCCUCUGCUACCUCUUCUAUCAGCACCAGCUCUAUGGCCCCUUUCUGAUUGUGGUGCCUUUGUCAACCCUAACCUCAUGGCAGAGGGAGUUUGAGAUCUGGGCCCCUGAGGUCAACGUGGUUGUGUACAUUGGAGAUCAGCUGAGCAGGAAUGCUAUCCGUGAGUAUGAGUGGGUCCAUUCUCAGACCAAACGGUUGAAGUUCAACGUGCUGAUUACAACCUAUGAGAUCCUCCUGAAAGACAAGGCCGUUUUGGGAAGCAUCAACUGGGCCUUCCUAGGAGUGGAUGAAGCCCACCGCUUGAAGAAUGACGAUUCUUUGCUCUACAAGACACUGAUCGACUUCAAGUCCAACCACCGCCUGCUCAUCACUGGGACACCCCUUCAGAAUUCCCUGAAGGAACUGUGGUCCCUGCUGCAAUUCAUCAUGCCAGAGAAGUUCGAAUCCUGGGAAGACUUUGAAGAGGACCAUGGCAAAGGACGAGAGAACGGGUACCAGAGCCUGCAUAAGGUCCUGGAGCCCUUUCUCCUGCGCAGGGUGAAGAAGGACGUGGAAAAAUCCCUCCCAGCCAAAGUAGAGCAGAUCCUGAGGGUGGAGAUGUCUGCCCUCCAGAAGCAGUAUUACAAAUGGAUUUUAACAAGGAAUUACAAAGCCCUGUCCAAGGGAACACGUGGCAGCACUUCUGGCUUCCUGAACAUCGUGAUGGAGCUGAAGAAAUGUUGCAAUCACUGUUACCUGAUCAAACCUCCAGAAGAGAAUGAGAGGGAAAACAGCCAGGAGAGGCUGCAGUCUUUAAUCAGGAGCAGUGGGAAACUCAUCCUUCUGGACAAACUGCUCAGCAGGCUCCGUGCGAGGGGCAACCGAGUCCUCAUCUUCUCCCAGAUGGUGAGAAUGUUGGACAUCUUGGCGGAAUAUCUGACCAUCAAGCACUACCCUUUCCAGCGCCUGGACGGUUCUAUCAAAGGAGAAAUCCGGAAGCAGGCUCUGGAUCAUUUCAACGCCGAAGGCUCGGAGGACUUCUGCUUUCUACUCUCCACACGUGCUGGCGGCCUGGGGAUCAACUUGGCGUCGGCUGACACAGUGGUGAUCUUCGAUUCGGACUGGAACCCCCAGAAUGACCUACAGGCUCAGGCUCGGGCUCAUCGGAUUGGCCAAAAGAAACAAGUAAAUAUCUAUCGCUUGGUUACAAAGGGAACAGUGGAAGAGGAGAUUAUAGAAAGAGCAAAGAAGAAAAUGGUGCUGGACCAUCUUGUGAUACAGCGAAUGGACACCACAGGCCGGACAGUUUUGGACAACAGCUCUGAUAGAUCCAAGACAAACCCCUUCAACAAGGAGGAACUGACCGCCAUUUUGAAAUUUGGAGCCGAAGAACUUUUUAAAGAACCCGAAGGGGAAGAAUCUGAACCACAAGAAAUGGACAUUGAGGAAAUCUUACGCCUGGCUGAGACACGAGAGAAUGAACCAUCCACAAGUGCAACAGACGAACUGCUUUCACAAUUUAAAGUAGCAAACUUUGCUACAACAGAAGAGGAAGAAGCCGAGGCGGAAGAGAAAUCUCAGAAGGAGUGGGAAAGCAUCAUUCCUGAGGAACAAAGGAAGAAAGUGGAAGAAGAGGAGCGGCAGAAAGAACUUGAGGAGAUAUACAUGCUGCCCAGGAUUCGCAGCUCAGCCAAAAAGGUAAUUUUUCUAGUCGAAUCAGAUGUUGAAAUAAAGAGGAAGCUCCAGAGGUCUUCGGGCUCAGAUACCGAGACAGAGGACUCUGAUGAUGACAAAAGGCCCAAACGCAGAGGACGCCCUCGCAGUGUUCGGAAGGACACAGUGGAAGGCUUUACAGACCCUGAAAUCAGAAGGUUGGCAGAGUCAAAAAUUUGCUAUGGAGCACCUUUAUUACGUUCCAUCUCCCUUUUUAGACUGGAAUGCCUCGCUCGGGAUGCUGAACUGGUAGAGAAAUCGGUAGCUGAUCUGAAACGUUUGGGAGAACUUCUCCAUAACAGUUGUGCUUCAGGGGGUGGUCAACCCAAGGGACCUGGGAAGAGAAAGGGGCCCACAAUUAAGAUCUCUGGAGUCCAGGUGAAUGUGAAAGCAAUUAUUCAACAUGAGGAGGAGUUUGCGAUGCUCCAUCAGACCAUUCCCAGUGACCCAGUGGAGAGGGCAAGGUUUCGUCUGAACUCCCGUGUCAAAUCUGCCCAUUUUGAUGUAGACUGGGGAGUGGAAGAGGAUUCUUCCUUGCUGCGGGGGAUUUAUGAGCAUGGAUGUGGGAACUGGGAGCUCAUCAAGUCAGACCCAGAACUGAACCUCACUGAAAAGAUUUUACCAGCUGAGACAGAUAAAAAGCCACAGGGGAAGCAGCUCCAGGCGCGAGUAGAUUAUCUGAUGAAGCUUAUCAAAAGAGACAUGAAGAGGAAAGAGAACCCGAACAAGACAGAGGAGGUCAGUUCCGUAACCAAGCUAAAUUUGCUCAAGUGGGCUUCAUUAAUGCUACGUAUUAUUUGGGAAGUUAGCCCAUGGAAAACUCAGCCCAAAGGCGCCGAGGCCAAACCCGGAAACCAAGGGAAGAAACUGCUGGGUCAGGGUCCCGUCCACAUUACGGCAGGAAGUGACCCUGUCCCCAUUGAAGAAGAGGAAGAGGAUGAGUUAGACCAUGCAACCUUCACCAUUUGCAAAGAGCUGAUGAGGCCAGUUAAGAAGUCCCUGAAGCAGCUGGAUAAGCCAGAAAGAGGACUUACAGACCACGACCAGCUGGAGCAAACACGGAGUUGCCUACUCAAGAUCGGAGACCACAUUGCUGAAUGUUUGAAAAUCCACACUGAACAGGAAGUCUUUAACGUAUGGAGAAGGAAUCUAUGGGUAUUUGUCUCCAAGUUUACUGAAUUUAAUGCCAAGAAAUUACAUAAGAUAUAUAAGAUGGCUAACAAAAAGCGAUCCCGGGAACAGGAGGUAAGAACAGAGGUGUGUGUGUUUGUGUUGUGCAGUAGAAUGCAAGGAAGGAGAGAGAGGGAAGGAAUGGGAACAUCUUGGGGACCUUGGAGGUCUUCUAAACCAACCCCCUACUCAAGCAGGAGACCCUAUCCCAUCUUGGACAAGUGGCUCUCCAGUCUCCAUUGGUGGACUUGCAUUGCUUUUUCUUCAAGUUGUCUGCCAAAUGCAACUGUGUGUGUGUGUGUGGGGGUCCCCUAG